AAUGCUAUCACCAGCUCCCCCCUCUGCACUCCACACAUGACUGAGUCUGAAGGUAUGAACAUACAAUGUCCUCCUCCCUCUCAUACGCUGUACCAGUACACCACAGGUCAUAAAAGUCCCAUUUGCAGCAGCCAUCAGAGCAGCUCGUGCCCAAUGGUAAUUGGUAAGCUAGCCCCUCAAUAAAUGGCAAUUCAGCUCGCGCGGCCCAUCCCAAGGAGCUGCGCCAACUGCCCUCCUCUCCCUCUUCAAAAACACCAGCGCUCUACUGCACUGAUGGCUCGAUCAGUAGCUACCUCUCUUGGCGUGUCUUCUUCUUCUUCUUCCUCUUCCCCACUGUCCAUGGUGGACUCCAUCUUGGCAUCUCUGAAUCAGUUUGAUUUUGAUAGGAGUUCUUGUUUUGGAGUGCAUGGCAUGUCCAGGCUGAAGUUAGGUUAAGGGGAUUGUUGUCUGGUUCAAGGUCUCCACAUUGUGCAAAAUGUUCAUUCAUGGAGGCACAGGAUGCUUGGUGAUCUCGGACCAGGCUUCAAUCCCUUUAACCAGCAUCUGCACAAUAUGUCUCUCAUCCGAGUGUGGUGCACUGCUGUAACUGGAGUAGCUCUUGCUUUGUUUUAUCAGCAUAUGAACAAGCAAAGUUUAACAAAGAUCUAGGUUUGCUCAUCAAGAAUCCAAGGUUUUGGUUCUAUCUAGAAGGAAACCCUGGAUAGCUAAGGACCAGUUACUCUAUAUAGUGUAUAUGUGUUUUUGUAGACAGUGAGCAGUGUAUAUGUGUGUCAGGCAUGCUGCUCAUGCGGGGAAACGCAUGCUGCGAGCUUCUCAUUUUCUCAGUUCUCACUGACUCUGAAUCAACUGCUACCCUGCAGUUUUAUGCACCUCAACACCUUGCAUUUCUGCAUUGGCAUCAAAUCUCGAUCUCAUCAAGUUCUUAACUAUGUUUACAUGAAAAUGAUAUCACACCCAUGCAUUGCACGGAUUUAAUUGCUGCAGGUGUUCUUCUCUGAAAACUUAUAUCAACAGCCAUGCAUGCAGAUCUUGGAGAUGAAAUUCAGAAACUGUACGUGCAUGCAUAUUGUGAUUUGUGAAGCACUGCAUCGUGGUACUAUGCUAGUACUGUACGUAGCAAUAAUGCUAGUAUUCACUGGGUUCAGGGUGGUAGUAAACGUGAGCACUGUCACUCUGACAGUCAGAACAAGGGGAGGACCGGAGGACAUGAACGUAACUGCCGACGCAUUUAAGCAGGGACACGGCUAUAGCUAGCCUCAUUACUUCGCUCACGCAGCAGCUGUGAAUUGAUCGACGAUGCCAUUUACACGGCGAAAAACUACUACCACAAGUUGCACCACUUCAAGGCGCCAGAUCGUUUUCUCUCUGGGAUUUAUGUUCCAUGUGUGUUCUUCUGCAGACUGCAGUUUACUAGUGCGCUGCAUACUGACAUUGCAUUUUCAGAAAAAUCUUCAGAUAUGUAAUUGCAGCAGUACUACUAAUCAUAUGUUGUCUUGAUCGAGUACAAUGAUGAACAUUGGUACGUCAAA